GAUGAACGCUGGCGGCAUGCCUAACACAUGCAAGUCGAGCGAACGAACGAGAAGCGCUCUUUUCUGAUGUUAGCGGCGGACGGGUGAGUAACAGGUGGAUAACCUACCUAGAAGACUGGGAUAACUACGGGAAACCUGAGCUAAUACCGGAUAAUAGAUUGAACGGCAUGGUUCAAAAGUGAACGACGGUCUUGCUGUCACUUAUAGAUGGAUCCUCGCUGCAUUAGCUAGUUGGUAAGGUAACGGCGUACCAAGGCAACGAUGCAUAGCUGACCUGAGAGGGUGAUCAGCCACACUGGAACUGAGACACGGUCCAGACUCCUACGGGAGGCAGCAGUAGGGAAUCUUCCGCAAUGGGCGAAAGCCUGACCGAGCAACGCCGCGUGAGUGAUGAAGGUCUUCGGAUCGUAAAACUCUGUUAUUAGGGAAGAACAUAUGUGUAUUUAUCUCUGCCCAUCUUGACGGUACCUAAUCAGAAAGCCACGGCUAACUACGUG
rnacentral:rRNA from 1 species